rnacentral:lncRNA from 1 species
UUUUUUUUUUUGGGUAUCUCAUCUGGUGUUCGAUUAUAACCAGCUGAAAAAUCGAAUGUAUUCUUUUUUUUGGGGGGGUGUCUCAUAUAAUGUUCGAUACACACAUUAGAGUCGAAAUGUAUUUACCUUAGAAGUGCUACCUCCAAAAAUGAAUCUUGAAAUACAAAAAUAAAAUAUAAUCGAACUCAAAUACGAGUGUCAAAUGCCAACUGAAAAAUCGAAUGUAUUCUUUUUUAUUUUUUAUAUCUCAUCUGAUGUUCGAUAUUCGCACUCUAUUUACCUAACCCUCUUUGGCACAAUAAAAUUCCUCUAUUUAAUACCACCCCCAUCCAACAUUAUAUACUCAAAUAUCUCUCUCUCUCUAUACUCAACAAAGAUCCAAGAAGAAAAAAACAUGAAAGAUAAAAUAGUGAAAAAUCCAUCCAUGGAAGAAAAUCAACUUGUUGAAUUCAAAGAAGCCAUCACUUUAUUUGACAAAAAUGGAGAUGGUAAUAUAAUUAAAUGCAAUCUUUUUUUAUUUUUUAUUUUUUCAUCUGACGCUCGAUAUCAGCAUUGAAACCUCGAUUAAUAUUUACAUGAUAUUAAUAUUUAGUAUUCUUAUCUUUCUUUUCUUUCUUUUCUUUUUUUGAUUUUCCAUCUGACGCUCGAUAUCAACAUUGAAACUUCGACUAAUAUUGACAUGGUAAUAAUGAAAGUACUAGUAUUCUUGUCUUGUCUUUUUUUUUUUUUUGCGCUGUUUGAUUUUUCAUGUGAUGCUCGAUAUCAAUAUUGGAGCCUCGAUUAAUAUCAGCAUAGUAAUAAAAAAAAGUACUAGUAUUCUUUUCUUUUCUUUAUUUUUGGUUUUCCACUUGCUCAGUAUCAACAUUGGAAUCUCGAUUAAUCCUGAUUCAACUGUAUAAGGUUCAUUGUGCUUCAAAAUUUAAAUUUGAGAUUUCUGAUUAAGGGUUAAUGAAUUAUAUCCAUCCCAACAUAAUUCUUGACUAUUCUUUUAUUUUUUUAUUUUUUUUUAAUUACUAUUAUCUCAAACAUGAUAUUUUAUUUUAUAGGUUGCAUUACAAUUGAAGAAUUGGCAACAGUAAUAAGGUCAUUGGAUCAAAAUCCAACAGAGGAAGAAUUAUACAAUAUGAUUAGUGAAGUUGAUAAUGAUCAUGAUAAUGGUAUCAUGGAAUUCAAUGAAUUCUUAAAUCUCAUCUCCAAGAAAAUGAAGGUAAAAAAAAAAAAAACACAUAUUCAACAUGUUAUUAUUAAACUGCAUCGAGUGUUUAUACUUAAUCAUAUAUCGACAGACAACAAGGAGUUAUUCAGAUGGUAAGCAGUAAGCAUCCUCCAUUUCAGUCUUAACGUUGUGAGUUUGAAUCACCAAGUGUAAAUAUAUAUGUCAUGCAUGUGUUGAAUUCAGUGACGAAGUCAUCUUUGCUCCAGAGGUUCAUCUGAACUUCCUUUUACGAAAAAUUAUAUUGUUUUUAUACUAUUUUUACAUGAUAUAUAAUAGAUGUUGAACCCCCUUCGACCAGUGGCGGAGCCAGAAUUUCACUAAGAGAGUUCAAAAUCGAAAAAGUAAACACAUGGAACUAGCCGAAGGGGGUUCAACAUCAACUAUAUAUACGUAAAAGAUAAUUUUUAUUAUGUAUAAAUAGUAUAAUUUUUCGUCGAAGCGGGUUUAGAUGAAACCCCUGGUCAUAAGGUGGCUCCACCCCUGCCUUUGACUAGUUCGUAUAUAUACUUCUGAACCCCUCAAUGAAAAUCCUAGCUCUGCCACUGAUCGAACUGGCAUAAACAUUCUAUAUAUAGAGUUCAAAAAUUGAUAUAAGUAAAAUUUAAAUUUUAAACAUGACGUAUCAUUAUAUGUUUCUGAAAUUUUCUUAUUAGAAUUUCUAACUCUGCUAUUGUACCAAGUUAGUAGCUUAAGGUGCCGUUUGGACAUGAUUUUUUUAAAAUUUUCAGGAGACUGAUACAGACGAAGAACUUAAAGAAGUUUUUAAGGUGUUCGAUAAAGAUCAAAAUGGUUACAUUUCAGCUACGGACGUAAGUUACUUUCGCACUUUAACUUUUGAAUUUUUAUUAUUAUAUUAAUUAAUUAAAUUAACACUCGAAAAAUAAGACGUAAUUUCCAUAUGUACUCGUAUUGUUCCAAGUACCUUAGGAGUACUCAAUAAUGUACGGUAUGUACUAAUAUUAUUCUUGAAAAUCCGUUAACAAGAUAAAAGUAUUUUUUUAAUUAAAUUUUUUUUGUAUUUUUAUUAAAUUAUUAAUGAAUAUAAUUAAAUUAGUUAAGGGGAGGGUGAGGGAGUUCACAUGUUAAUUUUAAUUUAUCUGUCAUUAUCAAUAAAAUAUUAUUAUUAUUACAUCAAUCUGUCAAAUGCAAUGAAUAUUUCCAGUGUUCACAUUGAACAAUGCACUUGUUCCUUUUGACUUUUAUUUAUUUAUAUAUUAAAACAAUUUAAAUAAAUUUAUUUUUGAUGAAAAGAUAAAAUAAUCGUAAAUCAAAAUAAUUAUUUUAUUCUUAAUUUAUGAUAUCGAGUUCAGCUCGUAAAUAUAAAUCUCUUUAUUAGACCAUUAAUUUUUAUUAGAAAAAAGUUAGGUUAUACAAAAUAUAAUUGGAAAUUACUUAUUUGAAUAAUGCUAGACUCGCAUAUAAUAUUUGCUCAUAUUAAACAUCAUAUAGUUGUAUCAAAAAUAAUAUUCGGAUUAACGAUAUAAAAAUAUAUAUUUAAUCACUUAUAAGAUAAUUAUAAAUAAAUUUCUUAAUAAUAUAUGAAUUUUUUCUUAAAAUUAUCAGUGUAUAUAAAUUAAAUUCAUUAUUUUUUUAUUUAUUUUUAAUUUUGCAGCUAAGGCAUGUGAUGAUUAAUUUAGGUGAAAAAUUAACAGAUGAAGAGGCUGAAAUGAUGAUUAAAGAAGCAGAUUUAGAUGGAGAUGGUCAAGUUAAUUUUGAUGAAUUUGUUAAAAUGAUGAAAGUUUAAUAUAAUUUUUAUUUUUUUAUUCAUAUAAUUUGUUUUAUUUAGUAAGUCUAUCAUUUUAUUAUUUGUUAAUUACAUCAAUGUUAUAUAGCCAAAGAAUUAAUUAUAGGAUUAGUUGACUAUUUAGACUCUGAAAAUUGUAAUCAAAUGUCUUCUUAAUUUAUAUUUAUGGUUUUUCAUGUGAUAUUCAUUUUGAUGUUUGAUUAAUUCAAAUUCGUGCGAGGAAAUCCUGAAUUGAAAUUAAACGAUUUUUUAUCAAAGAUAAUUUUAUCAAAACUAAAAUAUGAGACGUCAAAUUAAAAAAUAAAAACAUUUUGUAUUAUUUUGUAGUAUUUGAUUGGUGAAUAGAAAAAAUAUUACAAAAUUAUUAUUAAUAAUAACAAUAUCAAUAAAUUGGAGAGUAGUUUAAUAAAACUUUUGGAUAUUAGAGAUUAACUAUAAUGGCAAGUAUUAGUUGAAAAUUAAGAUAAUUGUAAAGAAAAUAGAAUUACAUAGAAAAUAGUUACAUAUAAUACCAUUAUUAUAAUAAUGAAUUUUAUGAUGAAAUAAAAUAAAUGCGAAAAGAAAGUACAAUUAAUAGAUCCAGAUUUAAAUAUGAUAUUCCUUGAUGACUUUUUGAGUUAUAAGUUGAAAUUAUUGAUUAUUUUAAUUUUUUUCACCAUAUAAUUAUCAAUUAUUCGUUAGUUAAUUUCAAUAAGGCAUGUUGACUAAUACACACACAUAUAUAUAUUUUAUGUAAGUUCAAUGACUCGUUUCACAAUUCUAAAAGAGGACCAAAUUAUCAUUACUAAGUCAAUUAUAUAAAUAACAUUGCUUCCCUUAUCGUAUUAUUUGUUGUUGAUGUUUUCUUUUCUUCAUUAUUUCGAGAUGAUAUCUUCACUUCAUUAUUUUCUGUUGAAACGUGCUUUGAUACGCUUUACUUGAGUCGAUAGUCUAUUGAAAGUAACAUCGUCACAAGAUAAUAGUAAUGUUUGCACACACACUGCCCUCUUCAGACCCCAUAAAAUCGAAAACAACAUUUCUAUCUUCUUGUUUUAAUGUAUAAUUCUACUCUUAAAAAUUGACAAUUUUUAAGAAAUUAAAUUCAAAGCCACCACGUCCAUAAAUUUAUAGAAAAAUAACAUAAACAUACACCUUAAAUUUCCAAUAUUUACGCAAAUCUCCAUCGUUACAAAGUAAUUAUAAAAAUCUCAAUCAAUUAUGUAUCUUCAUUAGAUAUAUCGGGAACUAAAUAUGUAUCUCGACAGACACAAAAUCGCAAAAAAUGAAUCGGGAGCUAAUUAUGUAUUUUUACAAAGAAAAAAUAUAUAUAUUUCGUUAGAUGUAUCAGAAGCUAAUUAUAUAUCUUGACAGACCCAAAAUCGAGAUUUUCAGUAAUUAUGCUAAGAGUAUUGAAGAAGCCGACUUAAUAAAAGUACAAAUUAAACUCAAAAAAAUAAUUUAUAAUUGUUUUUACCCACCUUAUUUAUAUUUUUUAAUUUAAUUUAUAAUUUAUAAUUUAUAAUUUACAAGUGGAGUUUGAAAAAGACCGCGUGUGUAGCAAUACUUUUACAUUGUGAAGGUAGAGAGGUUAUUUCUGAUAAAACGCUUGGCUCAAUUAAAGCAUAUCAAAAGGAAAUACAGUAGUGAAAAAGACAUUUUAAAAUCUAAAAAUUACAUAAAAGCACAACUUAAGUAUCACUUAUUACAUAAAAUCCCAACUCUCAAAACAUAUUACAAAAAUCCCAUUUUUUCUUAUUCUCUCUCUUAAAAUGCAUAUACAUAGCAUUACCAAAAUUAACUCACGGUGUUUCUCCUUGGAAGAAGCCUACAAUCAAGGAGCAGUUACUAUUUUUUAAUUUGAGUCCAAUUCUGCCUCUUUCUGACAAUUCAAUUUUAACUAAAACUCCUUUUAACAUAUUGAAAUUAUCAUUUUUGAAUUUGAGUCCAAUUUUGUUACUCUCUGAAAUUCAAUUUUAACUGAAACUUCUUUUAACAUUCGAAAUUUUAGAAUGUUGUUCAUUUAAUGAUUUUUCAUAGUAAUGGAGUAAGUUCUUGAUUUUCUAUUUUCACAAUUAUAAAAUCAAUUUCUGGAUUAUACUUUUUUGUUUUCAAAUUCGACUAUUUCCAAGUUAUAAAUUAACUAUAUAUUACUUAGUAAAUAGAUGAUUCUCCUUCUUUUAGUUCAGGAUUAAUUCAGUUAGAGCCUAAUGAACCAACAAAUCGGGUUGUUGGGUUCGUUCAGUUGUUGAUGGAAGGUUGAAAAAUGAAAUUAGAGAAUCGUUAGAAAAAAGAAAAAAAAAAUGAUACUGGACGGUCACGUCUACCAAAGAUUUUUCUGUUUUUUCGAUUUUGAAUUUCAUUGUUAAUUUGUACUGAGAUAUUUAUGUUAUACCUGAUAAUAUGAGGUUUUCAAACUUUUAAUUACUUGGAGAUGGUUGUUAGUUCUGCGGUAGAUUUUGGAAUUUUUCUUCAAUUUGAUCUAUCUUUUAGAAGUUUUCCAUGUGUAUACAUAACACUUGUUUGUAUAUGAUAGGCAUAUAUAUACGUGCUGCCUUUUUACUUUGAAAUACAGUUUUAUCUAUAGUUCAUAUACAUAUGUGAUUCUUGUACAUUUAUAUAUUAGUAUCUAUGUAUAUGUUAACAAUAUACAUUAUUGAUUAUAUGUUGUUGAACAUAUAAAUAAGUGAGUUUUGAAUUAUGUUUUUUAUGUGUGUUUGAGGCAAUGCACAUUACAUAUGUAUAUGUUAGACAUAUAUGUAAGUUUUGAUAUGUUGUUUGAUGUGCAUGAAAUGCUUCACUUUGUUAUAUGUUGUUAUGAACAUACAUUACUGUUUAUAUAUUGUCGAACACAUGCAUGAAUGGGUUUGAAUUAUGUAUUGUAUAUGUGAUAUGUAUAUGUCAGACAUAUACAUAAGUUUUGAUAUGUUGUUUGAUUUGUAAUGAAAUUCCCAGUUUAAGAUACAUCAUAUUGUUAUGUAUGUGUUAAUAAUAUACAAAACAUUACGCAACAAGAAUGUGACAGCUUGUAAGUAAUAUAUAUAUUUUUUUUUUAUCAAGUAUUACUAAUGAUGUGUUAUAUUAAUUAACGUUGUUCUUUGUAUGUAUGUCAGGAACUGUGGAGUGUUCAUUACUGGAUAUGCAGAAUACCUAAGUGAAGAAAUGGAUAUGCUUUCAGUGGAUUUUGAAGCAGAGUACCAUCGUAUGCGAUGCGCGGCACUCCUUAGAAAUUACGGUCUUAGAAAGCGAUGAAAGUUUAUGUCAGUGACAAUGACGACCCUCCAAGACCAAGGACAAAAAAUGUCUACCUACCCGAUGAAACUGAAAUAAUUAGUGUUGAGUUAUAUUUAAGAUUAUUACGGUGAAGACUUUAUAUUUCAGUGGGUUUUUUAGGAAUCUAAAAUUUGAAACUAAUAUUAGUUGUUUGUUAUGAAACACAUUUGACAAAUAUUUUUGGAUUAUCGUUUGAAUGACGGGGAUGAAAAAUUAUAUUCAUUCUUAUUGUGUUGUACAUUGCCUAUUAAAUUUUGCGUAUGAUAACAUAUACAUAGAUAUGUACUUUUUCAAGUGUAUAUGGAAAACUAAUAACCUAUAUUAUUUUUAUGUGUGGAUAUGUUUACACAUACAUAGCACAUUAUAAAACUUAAUAAUAUAUGUUGAAAAAUAUAGACGGAAUACAUAUACAGAUCUUUGAACUAUUUUACUUUUUUCAUAUAGGCACCUCAAUUAAGUCUGGUACGUAUUGAACCCUUUACUCCUUCACAAAUGAUUUCAAUUAAGCCCAAUUUGCUGACGUGGCAAAAAAUAUCAAAUGCAUGUAAUACACACGCUAAUGAUAUGACAAAUUGACAAAUUAAAUAACGACACGUGGUAUUUUAACAUAAAAUAAUCAUAAAAAUAAAUUUUUAAUAUAUACACUGAAGCCUACCCCAUCCUCCGCCUCCUCUUCCAAACACCCCUUUGGUAUCUUCUUCUUCACUUCUCUCCCUGUUACAUGUCCAAAAUCCUGUUAUUGACAACACGUUUCAGUCAUUGAGUGUUACUAAUAAAAAGAGACAACAAAUACGCCUUACUUCAACAAUUCACAAUACCAGAAAUUUUGCACUAUUAACUUCUCCUUCUUACCUGAAGUGGUCCGUUUUUGUAAAUUUCUGUCAUGAUUCUGUGGGUAUUACAGCUGAUCCUGUAUGAAUUGACAACAUAAUGCUUUGAUUUCCCCAUUUUUGGACACACCUCCGACGUGAACAAUCAAGGUGGGGACAUCUCUCUGGUCAAAGUAAGGAUCACUCCUUCAUUUUUUCACCAAAACAAUUUCAAAUGAAUUUGUGUAUUUUAGGUAUUUGAAAUUACCAUGAAUUAGUGUAUUUUGGAUAUUUAAAUUUGGGUAAUUAAAGAUGGAUUGUUUGCAGUCGGAAGAAGGGAAGGAAGGAGGAAAAAGCCAUUAAUUUAAUUUUAUUGUAUAUAUAAAAUAUCACCGAUUUCAAAUUCAAUUUGAAGAAAUAAAAUGAUAUGUUUAACAUUUAUGGAAGAUUGGCAAGGAUACAAUGGAGAAGAAGAUGAUAAUUUUUCUUUUUAUUUCUUUUAUGUGUUUUUUAAUUACUUUUAGGUGUCUUUUUUUGAUUGGUUGUGUUUUUUUAUAUUUAAUUUUUUUUAUUAAUUAUGGCUUCUCACUCUCCGUGUAUUACACAUGUCAUGCCAUGUCAGCAAUUGAAAUAUUUUUGUGAAGGAGUAAAGGGUUCAAUAGAUAUCUGGCCUAAUUAAGUACAGAAAAAGUCGAAUAGUUGAGUGACCUGUAUAUGUAUUUUUAUAUCCACAGGUUAUGUAUGUUAGCUAAUAAAAUUUUCAGGAGCAUGAAGAAAAUGAAUAAACUGAAUUUUUGUAAUAGUGUAUAUGUUUACAUAUACAUAGCACAUCAUAACGUAGUAAUAUAUGUUGAAGAAUAUACAUAAAUGUACAUGUAAUCUUACCUAAUAAACAUAGGUGAGUCAAAGUUUACAUAUACAGGUUAUGUAUGUUAGCUAAUAUACAUAGCAGAAUUUUUUAAACAAACAAAAAAAAUAAAAUAAAUCAACCUAAAAUUUUAAAUUGAAAUAAACUCAAACUUAUUUCAACGCAUCAAUGAAGUAAUUUAUAAAUAAUUAAUAACACAAAAUUAAUUAUUAAUAUUCAAUAGUAUAGAAAAACAGUAAGUUAGUUCAAGAGUAUAUGAAAAAUCAAUAACAUGUGUUUUUUUCGAUUUUACAACUACUAUAUGUUUACAUAUACAAAUCACAGAUUAUAUUGUAGCUAUGUAUGUUAAAUGAUAUACAUUAAUGUAUAUUUAAAUUACAUAAUACAGAUAAAUGAUUUAAAGGCUAUAUAUACCGGUUAUGUAUGUUAGCUAAUAUACAUAACUGUGUGACAUACUAAUUACAAACAUUACUCAAAGUGACCCAGCGUCCACAUAAACAAUACAAAUAAAAAAAAAAGUAACACUGAAAUUUCAAAACGAAAGUAAACUAAAAUUUAUUUCAACGAAAAAAUAUGAAACUGAAACAUAUCAAUCAAGUAAUUCCUAAAAAAAUGAUAACAAAAAUCAGUGAUUACUCUCCACGAGUAGAGCAAACAAAAAAUUAGUUCUCCUUUGAAAAAAAAUUAUAUGAACGCCUAUUGUGCCCUUCAUGUCCACAUCAUCCACAACGGUUUGUGCUUGACGAAAGUGUUUCGUUGGAUUUCUUCUUUCGCCCCUUCUUCGGUCUUCCUGGAAGUCUUUUGUAUAUCGAUGGCAACACUUCUUCCUCAUCUACACUUUUCAUGACAUCCCAAUUUUUCUUAUCUAACAUCGGAAUGAUUGGAACUUUGUAUGUCUUAACCAAUGUGUUUGGCUUGUAGUAUUCUGAACAGUAUGGUCUAAAAUCUUUUACAUGUUUAGACUUCAACACAGAUAUAGCUGCGCACAAGGCAUUUGGUCUAUUUAAAACCUCGCACAGUUGCAUGAGCCACUUUCAAGGUCAACAAUGUAUCUUCUCCCAGAUUUAUACCGAAUAUAUAUAUAUUCAACCACAGAUUUUUUUUUCGGAAAAAAUAAAUUUAAUUCGUACAUCAAUAAAGAAGCCUUUUGGCAAGUUGCUAGACAUAACUUACAUCAAUAUUGUUUUCGCACUGUAAUGUUUAAUUCGUCGGCGAUUGAAGAAAUAAACCUCAAGUAACUUAUCGAUUCAGCAGCAACGAUCCCUUCACUUUUAUAGUUUACAUUCUGUAUCGGUUCUCCAUUGACUAGAGUGCCUCAAAAGAAUAGCAAUAUUCAUCUUACAGAAUUCCAAUUGAAGUUUUUUUCUUCAGAGCUAUAAUGAAAUCAGUGUUUUGAUUUGUUUUUUGGUGUUUAAUUUCCGUAUGUUUUUAUUUUACUAUAUUUGAUUAAUUUAAAAUUUAAAAUUCAGAAGUUGUUACACAAAUUAAGGAAGCAUUAAUUCACUUAAUUAAUUAGUUGACUUAACAACAUCAUUAAAUCAAGGGAAUACGUUAGUUCCUUUUUUAACGUUAGUAAAACUUUCAAAUAUACAUAACAAGCUAUGUAUAUGCAUUUUUCUUAUGUAUGUUAAAAGGGAGAGAGAGUAAACUAAUUAAUAAAAGUGGGAUAGGGUGUGAUUAGUUCUAAAAGUUUGGGAUUUGUGUUAUUUACACUUUUAAAAUAGGAGUUAAUAUGAAAUUUAAAAAAAAUGAUUUAGAAUGGAACCUCCCUUAAAUGAAAAUAAUAGAGUUCGAAGCUAAAAGAGACUCUUUUUCAAUCUUAGGAGACAAAACGGAUGUUACAAAACGAACAGUUUGCCCAAAAAUGAAUAAAAUAAAGUGAACAACAAAACAUAUUCUAUAAGUGAAAAAGUUGUACCAUUUCUCAAAAAUUGAAGUGACAAAACGUUCACAAUAAGAAUCUUUUCAGAAAUAUUAACAUUGUAAUGUUUAAUCAGUUAUCAGUCGAAUCUCUUAGGGGAAGAAACAUAUUGUACCAUUUCUCAAAAAUUGAAGUGACAAAACGUUCACAAUAAGAAUCUUUUCAGAAAUAUUAACAUUGUAAUGUUUAAUCAGUUAUCAGUCGAAUCUCUCAGGGGAAGAAACAUAGUUUGCCCAAAUAAAAGUAAUUUGCCGGCAGAUGGACAAACUAUUAAAAAAAGAUUUAUGAAAAUGUAGUUUGCGCAUUUUUGGGCAAACCCCAUUAACAUUUUUUUCCUCCCCAAACGUUCACAGACGGAUUUAGUUGUAGUUUGCUCGUUUUUGGGCAAACUGUCCGUUUUGUAACAUAAACAAAAGUAUUGUCCGUUUUGGCUCCUAAGAUUGAAAACGAGUCCCUUUUAGGUCUGGACUCAAAACAAUAGGUGUCUAAGUUAUGCUUUCAUCUAUUCAAAAGAAUGAAAUACAUAAAAAUGACCCUCCAAUAUAGGUGUGUGCACAUAAUAUUGGCAUGUUCUGUUUAGCACCAUUGUCAUAUGAUCAGAAGGAGGUUCCGAGUUCGAGCUGUGAAAACCGCAUGCACGGUAACACUGCACACAAUAGACCCUUGUGGUCAGGUCAGGUCCUUCCCCGGACCCUACACGUAGAGGGGGCUUAGUGCACCGGGUUGUGUUUAGUACCAUAAUUCACAAGAGGGGACAAUAGUAUCAUGCCUCACUAUUGUUAUUAUUUGUCUUUUGGAGAGUAAUGUAAAGUAAAUGUUCAUUUUGCUAACCCAAACAUGUUGUAGUUCACUCAAUGAUGAUUCAUUCAAACAGGCACAGGUUCAGAAACACUGUCAUUUUCAUCUUGAUCCAAAUUAUCAUAGUAUUCCACCAAAACUUUCCAACCACCCGGGCACAUAAAUCCAUCCGGAGGGCUCUCCUUGUUCUUUGCAAGCGUUCGCAUCUGAAAGAAAAAAGAAAGCAUGAACUACAACGUACUUUUGAACGACGACAGCACAAUAAGUGAUCUCGUACAAUCUAAUGAAGUGGUCCUUUCCGGGGUGUGUGUAUAAAAAAUAUAUGUUGCUCGGAUUCUCUAAAAAAACUGCAGUGUCUGAUCCUCCAAAACUGCACUCGUUUUUGGAGGAUCCGACAUGUACCGGCCAACAGUUUUCAAGAGUCCGAGCAUCGUAGCAUGUAAUGAAGUGGUCCUUUCCGGGGUGUGUGUAUAAAACCUACGUCGCUCGGAUUCUCUAAAGUUACUGUAGAGUCUGAUCCUCCAAAACUGCAGUAUCUUUCGGAGGAUCCGACACGUACCAGCCAACAGUUUUCAAGAGUCCGAGCAUCGUAGAAUGUAAUGAAGUGGUCCUUUCCGGGGUGUGUGUAAAACCUACGUCGCUCGGAUUCUCUAAAGUUACGGUAGAGUCUGAUCCUCCAAAACUGCACUCGUUUUUGGAGGAUCCGACAUGUACCCAGCCAACAGUUUUCAAGAGUCCGAGCAUCGUAGAAUGUAAUGAAGUGAUCCUUUCCGGGGUGUGUAUAAAACCUACGUCGCUCGGAUUCUCUAAAGUUACUGUAGAGUCUGAUCCUCCAAAACUGCAGUAUUUUUCGGAGGAUCAGACACGUACCAGCCAACAUUUUUCAAGAGUCCGAGCAUCGUAGAAUGUAAUGAAGUGGUCUGACAUUUUUGAAGAGUCUGAGCCACAUAGCUAUAAAAACAUUGAAAGUCGAUGGCGAGAUAGAAACCUUGGUGCCUGAAAUGAAGAUAAAAUCUUGAGGCCUAGAGGAGUCGAAGAAAGCCAUUCCAUUCUUAGUCUUGUCAUAUGCAGCCACCUACAAGUAAAUUUAGUAUUCCCAUUAGAGCUUGAAAAUAAAAAAGGAAAGACGUGUUGCGCUUUGACCACGGCUAAAUUGUUGCCAUACCUUGAAAGGUAAGAUAUUCAGCCGUUCUAGUCCCGGAGCCAUACUGAGGACUUUCUUGCCGUGAUCAGCAUCAUACAGAUCUCUCUUCUCCAGAGGAUGAGCUAUUCCGGCUGGAUCUCGUCCCACGAUAUAAAAGUUAGCACCUGCAUUGAUGCGAGCCUUUGCAUGCCAUUGCACCUCGGUUGGACCAGCAUAAUGCAUGGGCGAUGGGAAUAUAGAAAGCACAGUUGUCUCUGGAUCAAGCACCCCAUCUUCGAGAACCUGCAAAGAGUUCCAGUUGUGUAUCGAAGUAAGAAAGCAACACCACGUAAGUACAUGAAUCAAAUUGAAUAGGAGAAUCAAAUUUUAGCAAGGAUUUCAGUCACUGAAAGGGAUCAAAAGAAACCGGGGCCUUUCAAGAUUCUUACAGCAGUACUUGACACAAGAAAUAGACGCUUUCAGAAGUGAACAUAAGUCAGAAGGUACUUUGAGCAAAAACGCCUAGGGAUGUCAAAUGAGCGGGUCAUGUUUUCCAGUUGAAGGAGGGAAAAAUCAUGUAGCGUAGUGUUUCAUUGCUUUAUUUUACUGCCAAAACGGAAAAAAUAUAGGCUUCGUAAAAAAAAAAGCAUAACCUUUUCAUGUUGCUUCAUUCUCCAAUGAAGUGGAACAUCAUCUUCCUUUGUGUAACCUCCAAGAGGAUGAAGCAAAAGGACAGGGUUCUUAUAUCCCAUUUCGAGAAGUCGCCCACGUGUGUCAUUCAUCAGUAAUGCAUGGCCAUUAUGCACGGGGUUUCUCAGUUGAAAAGCAAAAACUGCAUCUGCAUUACGCCUUGUAAAUUCAUCACGAAGUUCAGCUGGAGAAAGUCGGAACCUGUCAAGACCAUCAUGGUACUUGACUGGAUCUAUAACUUUCAAAUCGCCACCAAUUAGCCAGUUUCCCGCAUGAGUUAUAGCUUCAUCCACAUAUGGAAGACCUGGGGCAGUGGUGCCCCAAGUUCUUGCUAUCCGUUCUUCUUUGUUAUGCUUGUAGAUCUCGAUACUACAAUUAUACAUCGAGAAGGUAGAGAGGUUGUUUCCAAUAGACCUUCAGCUCGAGUAGAACAUGUCAAAAAUCAAAUACAUAAAGCAAAUACAGUGGUGAAGAAGCCAACGGAAAGAGAACAGUAGCAACAACAAAUAAUACGAUAACCAAAGUCGAGGAGACUAAUGAAAACAAAUGGUGUCUUAAGUUAUGUUCUCAUCUAUUCAGAAAGAAUGAAAUGCAUAUAAUGACACUCCAAAUUCUGGACUACAUAGUACCUAUAAAAUAGGUGCAUCACAAAUGUGUGAAUAAAUUUAGUAUUAUAAUUUACAAGAUGGAGAAAAUUUUCUCAACCUACUAUAUCAUGCUUCACUAUUAUUAUUUGUUUCUUGAAGAAUAAUGUCUAAAUUAAAUCUUCAGACACAUACUAGGGGGGGAAAAUGCUAAUUUUUCUACCCCAAAUGUGUUGUUGUUCAAGAAGGGACAGGUUCAGCAACUCUGCCAUUUUCAGCUGAUGCCAAACUAUCAUAGUAUUCCACCAAAACUUUCCAACCACCCGGGCACAUAAAUCCGUCUGGAGGGUUCUCCUUGUUCUUUGCAAGCGUCCGC